rnacentral:rRNA from 1 species
UUUGAGUGAGUGGCGGACGGUGAGUAACACGUGGGUAACCUGCCUAAAGUGGGGAUAACAUUUGGAAACAGAUGCUAAUACCGCAUAAAACCUAACACCGCAUGGUGUAGGGUUGAAAGAUGGUUUCGGCUAUCACUUUAGGAUGGACCCGCGGUGCAUUAGUUAGUUGGUGAGGUAAAGGCUCACCAAGACCGUGAUGCAUAGCCGACCUGAGAGGGUAAUCGGCCACACUGGGACUGAGACACGGCCCAGACUCCUACGGAGGCAGCAGUAGGGAAUCUUCCACAAUGGACGAAAGUCUGAUGGAGCAACGCCGCGUGAGUGAAGAAGGUUUUCGGAUCGUAAAACUCUGUUGUUGGAGAAGAAUGUAUCUGAUAGUAACUGAUCAGGUAGUGACGGUAUCCAACCAGAAAGCCACGGCUAACUACGUG